rnacentral:snRNA from 1 species
UGGGUCUUUCUCGUCAAGUCUAU